rnacentral:rRNA from 1 species
AGAGCGAACGCUGGCGGCAGGCCUAAUACAUGCAAGUCGAACGAACCCUUCGGGUGAGUGGCGGACGGGUGAGUAACACGUGGGAACGUACCCUUUGGUUCGGAACAACUCAGGGAAACUUGAGCUAAUACCGAAUGUGCCCUUCGGGGGAAAGAUUUAUCGCCAUUGGAGCGGCCCGCGUCUGAUUAGCUUGUUGGUGGGGUAAAGGCCCACCAAGGCAACGAUCAGCAGCUGGUCUGAGAGGAUGAUCAGCCACACUGGGACUGAGACACGGCCCAGACUCCUACGGGAGGCAGCAGUAGGGAAUCUUGCGCAAUGGGCGAAAGCCUGACGCAGCCAUGCCGCGUGAAUGAUGAAGGUCUUAGGAUUGUAAAAUUCUUUCAGCGGGGACGAUAAUGACGGUACCCGCAGAAGAAGCCCGGCUAACUUCGCGCCAGCAGCCGC